AUUGAACGCUGGCGGCAUGCCUAACACAUGAAAGUCGAACGGUAACAGGCCUUCGGGCGCUGACGAGUGGCGGACGGGUGAGUAACGCGUGGGAAUCUGCCUAGUAGUGGGGGACAACUCGAGGAAACUCGAGCUAAUACCGCAUACGCCCUACGGGGGAAAGCGGGGGAUCUUCGGACCUCGCGCUAUUGGAUGAGCCUAAGUCGGAUUAGCUUGUUGGUGAGGUAAAGGCUCACCAAGGCGACGAUCCGUAGCUGGUCUGAGAGGACGAUCAGCCACACUGGGACUGAGACACGGCCCAGACUCCUACGGGAGGCAGCAGUGGGGAAUAUUGGACAAUGGGCGCAAGCCUGAUCCAGCAAUGCCGCGUGUGUGAAGAAGGCCUGCGGGUUGUAAAGCACUUUCAGUAGAGAAGAAAAGCCUACGGUUAAUACCCGUGAGUCUUGACGUAACCUACAGAAGAAGCACCGGCAAACUCCGUG
rnacentral:rRNA from 1 species